UCCGAGUUGACCCCGGCAGUCUCCUAUGAGUCCCCGGCAUAACCCGCUGGCAACAUAGGACGAGGGUUGCGCUCGUUGCGGGACUUAACCCAACAUCUCACGACACGAGCUGACGACUGCCAUGCACCACCUGUAAACCGACCUUGCGGCAACCACAUCUCUGCAGCCUUCCGGCAUAUGUCAAACCCAGGUAAGGUUCUUCGCGUUGCCUCGAAUUAAGCAACAUGCUCCGCUGCUUGUGCGGGCCCCCGUCAAUUCCUUUGAGUUUUAGCCUUGCGGCCGUACUCCCCAGGCGGGGCACUUAAUGCGUUAGCUACGGCGCCGGGGGAGUCGACACCCCCAACACCUAGUGCCCAUCGUUUACGGCGUGGACUAC
rnacentral:misc_RNA from 1 species